rnacentral:tRNA from 1 species
UGGCGCAGGGGGAGCGCGCCUCCCUUACAAGGAGGAGGUCGCAGGUUCAAAUCCU